rnacentral:rRNA from 1 species
UUAAAUAUGAGAGUUUGAUCCUGGCUCAGGAUGAACGCUGGCGGCGUGCUUAACACAUGCAAGUCGAACGAAGCACUGUGACGGAAACCUCCGGGCGGAAGAUACAGUGACUGAGUGGCGGACGGGUGAGUAACGCGUGGGUAACCUGCCUUACACAGGGGGAUAACAGUUAGAAAUGACUGCUAAUACCGCAUAACC